AUAUGUUUCUUCAUACUUCGUUACUUUUAACAUAAACUGAUAUGUUUCUUCAAUGUACGUGCUCCCAAUUCGAAACUCAAUCUUGGUGUUGAGAGUUUUUGUAUCAAUGUGGAUCGACCGAGGUGUUCAAACAGCAGACGGGAUCAACAUCUCGUGACAAACUUGCCGAUUCCAGAGUACUUCCCAGCACUAUCUUUCCGGAUAUCAGAUGUGCUGGAUGAAAUCGGGGCCGGAAAACGCACUGUAAUGGAGAGGAGAGAAACAUAUUUGCUGAUAGAACGCAUGCUGACGCUAGCUGGACAACAUAGGGAAGCAAAUGAGGAUUAUUUUCAUUUCGGAAGCCAAUCUGAAGGCACCACAACUCCCGGUCUCAAUUCUGAUAUUGAUAUGCUAAUGAGUUACAAAAAUGUGAACAUCAUGACAGACUGGAGAGACUGGGAGGCUGAGAUGGUUAACCUUCUGAUGCUUCGUGACGACAUCACUAUACCUCAACAGUACUUGCUACAGGUGAUACACAUAUACACACCUGAAGCGGUAACCAUUAACAGUAUCCAGAUUAAGUUUGCAAAUCCAGAUUAUUUGCAAACUUAUUUUUUUUAUUUAUUGAACAAUUGUUAUGAAAUUUUGCAUAUUUGUAGGGGGCAUUGAGUACAUACAUAUAAUUGAAAAAAAAGAGUUAAAAUGUUUUUGGAAAGUAGAGUUAUUUGAUGAUAAAGUUGCCAUCCCCCGUUGGAUCCCAACGGGGUUUUGGCUCCCCCGUUAAGAAUUGCAAUUCUCCAACGGGUGUUUUUUCCAGACGGGAGAAUUUUACCUAUAUUUUACAAAAAAUGUAAUUUAAAUAUUAUGCUUUGUUUUCUGUUUCAAUGUUUACAAAUACACAUGUUUAAGUUAUAAUUGUAAGAAAUAUGUACUUUAAUAAGAAAAUAAAGUGUUUGUAGAUUUUCUUCCCCCGUGGGGUUUUGACGGGGGAUCCCGUCCAUCUCCCAUAUCCAUUAAACUCCAACGGGGUUUUCACGGGGGACCCCGUCAAUCCCCCAUUUAAAUUAAACUCCAAUGGGUGUUUGACGGGGGAUCCCCGUUUAACUCCAAUUUAUAAAGAACUCCAAUGGGAGUUUGACCAGAGAAGAGAGGGGGGGGAUCAGACUUCAAUAAACAGUUUAUACCCAUUGCAAUAUAUUCCAUUGUAUAAAGAGUAAAAGACACCAAACUUUAUUAAAUAAUUAAUGUUUUCUUUUUAAGGUUUCAAAAUCAAUUUAUAAUUUUUAUAUUUUCAUAACUCGGUACGUUACGUUGAAUAAAAUGUCUUUUUGAAAGAGAUUAACCCCACAUAUUGCUAUUUCUGGAAAGAUGAAUUUAAAACGUUCCAUAAUUUUGAAAGACUGUAUAAAUAAUAUAGUGACUUAUCUCGAAAAUAUAUUACAUUUACCUUUUGAUAAUCCAAACGUUGCUUUUAUCCAUUUCUGUGAUGAUAAAUACAAUCCAGAAAGACAAUAACAUUGGAAGCAUAAUUAUUGUCAUUCGGAAUUGUAUUUCUUUUGCUGUUUAUUCCCGUGUAACAGUUUUGGAGUUUUUUUUCCUAGAAAUUUACCUUGCAAACAUUUUCGGUGCAAUGUCGUACCUUAGUGUACCGGUUACAUUCCACAAGUUGUGUUUUUUUUACACAAAAUGCCUGAUUAGGGCAGUGUGUUAGGUUCAUUGUUUUGUUAUUGCAGUUGUUUGUUUUUUAUCUUUAACAACACCGUGCACUGGUAGCGUUAUUAGCAGAGACAUGCGGGAGUAUUCUUGAAACAUACUGUACUGGCUAGUUUCAAUUAUGGGACACACCACUUCUCCAAUAGAAUCGAUGAUGUUUAAAUACAUUUUAGUUAUAUUUGCAGUUUCAGUUAUUAACUGUUUUGUUUUCUGAUAAGGAUAUGAUAUCCCAGACGUUAGUUCCUGUGCUGUCUUUUUCCCUCUAAACAAACAGACAUAUAACACCAAGGACUUAUAUCACUUUUCAUUAUUGUGUAUAAAAUACAAUAUACCACACACAACUGAAAUAUUUGAUAUAACCCAUAUAAGCAGUAUGAUUUCCUUUCUAAAUGUAAUAAAAACUUAAUUUUCAAUCAUGAACUAGUAGUUUCAGGAAAACAGGAAACCAAGAAAAAAUGUGAAACCAACAAAGGCAUAGAAUUGUGAAAUAUGCAAGCCAGAGUUCUCGACUUAUGAUUGUUGAACGCUGCACUUCUAUACACCACAACCUACCUUUGUUCGAAGUUUGAUGUAAAUGGGUCUUAUUGUAAUUACGUUAUGACCCGGACACUAAAAAAGUGAGAUAAAUAAAGUAAUGAAGGGGCUAUAGCUAUAGUUCUUGUGCACUGAACUUCUAAUCAGUGAGAUCUAUCCAUAUAUGCAUAUAUGAAGUUUCAUGUGAAUAGGUGAUAUAGUUAAAGACUAAUACUCUGGACAAAGUACUGGAAGCUGCCCGACCCCAGGCAUGACAUAAUUAAUCCCUUAAUAUGGACUCCAUUGGUCAUUGUCGACUCCGGUACUACUUACGUGUACCCCAGGUACUCUUAAGUAUACUUACAUGUACCCCGGGUACGGUAAAUAUACUAAAUCGUACCCGGUCGAUAUUAGACUGUACUCGAGUUGUAUUCCCGCCUAAAAUCCUAUGUCGUAAAACGCGCUACCGAUUAUCUUAAACAAACUUCUAUUUUAAAAAAAACUGCCUCAACAUGCUUUGUGAGUAUGAGUUUCGAUAAUAUAGAGGUCAUUUUACAGAAAAUUGACAUAAAUGUGAAUAUAUUUAAUUAAAAACAAGAUGUGUUUGUGAAACACAAUGUCCCCCUAUAUGACGUUUGACCUUGAAGGAUGACCUUGACCUUGUGAAGGAUGACCUUGACCUUUCACCACUCAAAAUGUGCAGCUCCAUGAGAUACACAUGCAUGCCAAAUAUCAAGUUGCUAUCUUCGUGAAACACAAUGUCCCCCUAUAUGACGUUUGACCUUGAAGGUUGACCUUGACCUUGUAAAGGAUGACCUUGACCUUUCACCACUCAAAAUGUGCAGCUCUAUGAGAUACACAUGCAUGCCAAAUAUCAAGUUGCUAUCUUCAAUAUUGCAAAAGUAUUCAUAAAAUGAGCGAUUUGGGCCACAUAUAUUUGACCUCUGACCUUGAAGGAUGACCAAGACCUUUCACCACUCAAAAUGUGCAGCUCCAUGAGAUACACAUGCAUGCCAAAUAUAAAAUUGCUAUCUUCAAUAUUGCAAAAGUAUUUAUAAAAUAAGCGAUUUGGGCCUCAUAUAUUUGACCUCUGACCUUGAAGGAUGACCUUGACCUUUCACCACUAAAAAUGUGCAGCUCCAUGAGAUACACAUGCAUGCUAAAUAUCAAGUUGCUAUCUUAAAUAAUGCAAAAGUAUUCAUAAAAUGAGCGAUUUUGGCCACAUAUAUUUGACAUCUGACCUUAAAGGAUGACCUCGACCUUUCACCACUCAAAAUGUGCAGCUUCAUGAGAUACACAAGCAUAUGAAGUUGCUAUCUUCAAUAUAGCAAAAGUUAUUGCAAAAUGUUAAAGUUGGCGCAAACAGACAGACCAACAGACAGACCAACAGACAGGGCAAAAACAAUAUGUCCCCCACUACUAUAGUGGGGGACAUAAAAAUAGCCGACAACGACCGAUUAAGCUUUAAAUUCCCGGGUACGUUUUAGUAUAUUUACCGUACCCUGGGUACAUGUAAGUAUACUUAAGAGUACCCGGGGUAAAUGUAAGUAGUACCCGAGCCGACAAUGACCAAUCGAGCCUUAAUAUGCCCUGUAUUUGACAGACAUAUAAGAGACAAAUGGAAAGGAUGAAAAAAACAACACAGCAGUAAUUAGUUUUAUCAGAGACAUAGAUAACAGAGAUAACAGAGAUAGGCAGCUCGCCAAAUAUCGGCAAACUCUCGCGCAUCCAGUGGUUUUGGCGAGAUAGGUUUAAUUUUAGUCUGUGCAAUAAAAGAAUGCAUGAACAUAGUUUUUACAAUUUAAUGAUAUUUCAUCAAAACUUCAUCAUUCAUAAACACAUAUCAAUACAACUGGCAUAAAAAAUAAGCAAUUUAUUACACGUAUUAAGCAAGUUGUUGAUAUUACAAAAUUAAUAACAUAUCGGGAGAAAACAGCUAAUAUUCUGCAGUUAUGCAGGCAACAAACAUGUAAGCAUAAGAGCCAUUAUCGUAUGGGGCAGGGUAUUAAUGUUGCUGAAGAAAAUUCAUAAUCACAUAAGAAUUUUUCAUCAUGGAGAUUGGACUAUAAAUGCGACUGAGAGUGUUAACAUGUUUUUACCAAAGUCAUGUAAGGAAAAAGCCCCGCCCCUUGGUGGCCAUGUUUUUCAUGAUAUCAUUGGGACACUCUA